rnacentral:rRNA from 1 species
GUUCAUGGCCAUACCACCCUGAAUGCCCCUGAUCUUGUUUGAUCUUGGAAGCUAAGCAGGGUCAGGCCUGGUUAGUACUAGAAUGCGAGAAAGCAUGAUUCAGGAGAUUUCAAAC